rnacentral:rRNA from 1 species
GAUGAACGCUGGCGGCGUGCCUAAUACAUGCAAGUCGAGCGAACGGACGAGUAGCUUGCUACUCUGACGUUAGCGGCGGACGGGUGAGUAACACGUGGAUAACCUCCCUAUAAGACUGGGAUAACUUCGGGAAACCGGAGCUAAUACCGGAUAAUAUCUUGAUACGCAGGGUCAAUAGGUAAAUAUAGCUCUGGCUGUCAUUGAUGGAUGUACCCGCGCUGCAUUAGUUAGUUGGUAUGUCAACGCAUUACCAAGGCAAGGAUGCAUAGCCGACCUGAUAGGGGGAUAGGACAAAUCAGAAGGGAGACGCGGCACAGACUCGUACGGGAGGCAGCAGUAGAGUAACGAACACAAUGCGCGGAAGCCUGACGGAGCAACGCCGCGCGAGGUAUGAAGGGCUUCGGAUCGUAAAACUCAGCUACUAGGGAAGAACAUAUGUGUAAGUAACUGUUCACAGCUUGACGGUACCUAAGCAGAAAGCCACGGCUAACUACGUG